rnacentral:rRNA from 1 species
CCUACGGGAGGCAGCAGUGAGGAAUAUUGGUCAAUGGCCGAGAGGCUGAACCAGCCAAGUCGCGUGAGGGAAGACGGCCCUACGGGUUGUAAACCUCUUUUGUAGGGGAGAAAAGCGAGUCACGUGUGACUCAUUGCGAGUACCCGAAGAAAAAGCAUCGGCUAACUCCGUGCCAGCAGCCGCGGUAAUACGGAGGAUGCGAGGGUUAUCCGGUUUUAUUGGGUUUAAAGGGUUAGGAGGGGGAGGUGCAAGUCAGCGGUCAAAUUGCGGGGCUCAACCCCGUACUGCUGUUGAAACUGCAUGCCUUGAGUGCGCGAGAAGUAUGAGGAAUGCGUGGUGUAGCGGUGAAAUGCAUAGAGAUCACGCAGAACUCCGAUUGCGAAGGCAGCAUACCGGCGCGCAACUGACGUUCAUGCACGAAAGCGUGGGUAUCGAACAGGAUUAGAUACCCCUGUAGUC